ACUCCUACGGGAGGCAGCAGUGGGGAAUCUUGGACAAUGGGCGCAAGCCUGAUCCAGCCAUGCCGCGUGAGUGAUGAAGGCCCUAGGGUCGUAAAGCUCUUUCGCCAGGGAUGAUAAUGACAGUACCUGGUAAAGAAACCCCGGCUAACUCCGUGCCAGCAGCCGCGGUAAUACGGAGGGGGUUAGCGUUGUUCGGAAUUACUGGGGCGUAAAGCGCGCGUAGGCGGACUGGAAAGUUGGGGGUGAAAUCCCGGGGGCUCAACCCCGGAACUGCCUCCAAAACUCCCAGUCUUGAGUUCGAGAGAGGUGAGUGGAAUUCCGAGUGUAGAGGUGAAAUUCGUAGAUAUUCGGAGGAACACCAGUGGCGAAGGCGGCUCACUGGCUCGAUACUGACGCUGAGGUGCGAAAGUGUGGGGAGCAAACAGGAUUAGAUACCCUGGUAGGAUACCG
rnacentral:rRNA from 1 species